UAAGGUAGUAAUAGUUAAGAUCUUGAAACUUAAAAAAUUUGGCGGUAUUUUAGUCUAUUCAGAGGAACCUGUUUUUUAAUCGAUAAUCCACGAUGGACCUUACUUAAAUUUGUAUAGUUUAUAUACCGUUGUUAUUAGAAUAUUUUAUAAGAAUAUUAAUUUUCAUAAUUUUUAUUAAAAAAGUAUAUCAGAUCAAGGUGUAGCUUAUAUUUAAGUAAAAAUGGGUUACAAUAAAAUUAUUUAAAUGAAUAUAAAUUUGAAAUGUUUAUUGAAGGUGGAUUUGAUAGUAAAAUUAUAAAGAUAAAUAAU
rnacentral:rRNA from 1 species